UCGAGGAUCUUCGUCAAUGGGCGCAAGCCUGAACGAGCGACGCCGCGUGCGCGAUGAAGGCCUUCGGGUUGUAAAGCGCGAAAGUGGGGAGAAAAGCGAAAGUUUGAUCAACCCACAGUAAGGACGGGCUAAGUUCGUGCCAGCAGCCGCGGUAAGACGAACUGUCCAAACGUUGUUCGGAAUCACUGGGCUUAAAGGGCGCGUAGGCGGUCGAACAAGUCGGGGGUGAAAUCCUGCAGCUCAACUGUAGAAGUGCCUUCGAUACUGAUCGUCUGGAGGGAGAUAGGGGUGUGCGGAACUUCCAGUGGAGCGGUGAAAUGCGUUGAUAUUGGAAGGAACGCCGGAGGCGAAAGCGACGCACUGGAUCUCUACUGACGCUGAGGCGCGAAAGCUAGGGGAGCAAACGGGAUUAGAUACCCCCGUAGUCC
rnacentral:rRNA from 1 species